CCGAAUCACUAACCAAAACCUCUACCCAAACUCCUCUCCCUCAGUUUCCAAAAAACAAAAAAAGAAAAGCCUCCUCUGUCUCCCCGACCCUGCGAGACCCGAGCGACCCUUCAUUCUGCCACCGUGCUGCGCCUAGCCACCACCCUCUUGACCCGAUCCACCAUCUUCCUCAGGGCCCGAUGCUUCUCUAACGACGUCGCUGCGACUGCCCCAGCCGAUUCGACUUUCAGUGACGCCUGGAAGAAAGUGGUGCCUCACAUAGAUCACACAAUGACCCCAUUGACCUUUAUGAAGCCUCGGCCUGCAACCCCGUCGUCGAUCCCCACUAAGCUCACUGUCAACUUUGUGCUCCCUUAUGCGGCCGAACUUUUGGCUAAAGAGGUCAGUUUUCGGAGAGAUUUGUUGUGGGUUUUUUUUUGCAAUUUUUUUAUCUGUGGUUUGAUUUGAGAUUUAUGUGAUACGGGACUUGUAUGCUUUAGUGUCGGUUUAUCUGGGUUUGGUGCAAAUUCUGGUUUUCAGGUCGAUUUUGUUGUCCCUAGUUUGAAUUGGGUAUACUGUUGUUUUGAGUAGGUUUGUAUUGGUUUGGAGCUAAUUCGAUUCACGCUUUGAUUUUUCUGUGACCCUAUAUGGUUUUUGGUUUUCAAUUGUUAAUUUACUGGGGCUGGAGCUAGUUUUGAAUUCUUGAUUGGAGCAAUUAUGAUGUAUAAGUUCUACGAUAUAUAAUAUAUUAUAGGAUGUAAUCAUUUCAUUUAAUAGGUCUUCAUAUCUUCACAGAGAUGCAAUGUUACUUACAAAAGAUGCUGCCGCAUUAAUAUUUUUGUGCUGUUUCUUGUAUAGGACUCUGUGUUUUGCGUUUCUUUGUAAAAGUCCAAUUUUAAGAAUAAGAGUUAACUUUUUGGUUCUUGUUUCAGUAUUUUGUUUGAAUGUCAAACUUCCAUCUAAGUCAUGGUGAUUAUUCUUGUUACAUAAAUUGUAUUUGCUAGAUUGAUUUUAAGCAUUUCACUGUUUUGGAUUUUGAAUGGAUGCAUUAUAGCAUGUUCAAUCAACGGUACCAUGUUUUCAGUUUGAUCUCUAUUUGUUACUUUUUCUAUUGACAGUGUUGGAAAAAAAAAAUGUAACUUUGAAUCCAUAGUGUUUGAUUUGCGUGGCCCAUGGAAGAUUUAGUCCUGCACUUAUUGCUUGGAUUUCAUAUUUUUCAAACAUUUACAGUACUCAUAUCCCAUUUCCUUAUUUUAUUUCAUGCUAACUUUUGCAACUGAUUAUAGUGGUGCAAUAUACACCUAGUUUUCAUCUGUUGUUGCUGUAGGCUGAACUUCAUCUCAGUUUAGUGUAUGUAAGGAUGCUUUAUGUGUGUCACAUUUUUCUUUCUUAUGAGUCAUAUGCUAUACUGUUUUAAAGUAUAUAAUUCAAAUUCACAUGUGAACAGAUGUGGAAUUAAGUUCCUUUUAAAAAGUUUGUGGAGUUCUCAAUCCAAUGAGAAACAAAUACCGCUUGUAAUGAAAACUAAAAUUCCAACUUGUGAUGCAAAAGUGUAGUGUUAAGUCCAUUUCCUCUCCUUUAUCAAGCUUUGUGACUCCUUUUAGUCUUUUGAUUGGCAAAUGGGUAUGGAAAUCAGACAUGAGUAACAUAGCUGAGUGAGUUAGAGCAUGGUUGCAUGCCAAAAAAACAUGUCAUGGUCCUGUUGGCAGUUGAACUGUUAGUUUUCUACAUAUAUGAUUUGUGUAAUGCAUUGCUCAUGUGCAUAAGCAAGGUAAGUACAACUUGAAAUAUUAUACAUGUCUUAGUUUUAUUUGUCCCAUUUGGAGCGAACUUUGGAUUUAUCCCGGUAAAGCGAAAUGAAUCUUUCUUUUUCAUAAGUAAGAAAAGUUAUUGGUGGUGCAUUUUGAGAUCAACGUGCUCUUCCUUUUUUUAAUGUGUUAUCCUCAGUUUCAUAGUAGCCUUGCAUAUUUAGUGUUGGCCUCAGACAAUCAUUGAAAACCUUCUUUACUAUUCUUUUUUUCACUGCGUUUCUGACAUUGAUAAAGGGGACUGAAUCUUUUAGCUAACUUGCUUCUGACAGAUUAAAAGAAUGUGGAACUAAACACAAAGAUUAGUUGCCUGACUAAUUUUAAUCUCAGACAAAAUUAGUUUUUUUCCUUCAUUCAAUGUUACGACCCAAAGCUACUGUUUUCCAUCUUCUGUUAUCUUUCAAAACCAUAUUUUAAAAAAUGUGCUUGCUGCCUUUUCUUAGUACCAAAACUACUGUUUUGCCAGACAAAAAAACUAGUGUAUGUUGAAGAUUGAUGAGCAACAGAUGCCCCUUGCUUUGACAGAACUCGAUAAUGUAACAGUCGACUUUUUUUAGUGGGUGAAGGCCACCAUUCAGUUGCCAAACAUCAUGACUUUGUUGAGACUGAAACUUGAUAAUUUUAGCAUUAACAUUAUCUGUUGAUUGUGUGGCCAGUAAUCCAAAGAUGUAAAGGCAAGGAUCUGAAGUUUGUUUGUAUUUGAUUAUAUAUCCACAGAUUCCGAAACAGAAAUACGAAGAUGAUAUUGCAUUAAUGUCAUGUUUUUGCAAAGAAUUAGUAAGAGACUUCUAGUUGUGCCAUCUUUUUUUAUUGUGUGACGAAAGACGGAACUAUCAUUCGUUGUCUGAGCCAUGAACAGAAGGGAAGACAGAUUUCAUUGACAGAAUACCGAGCAAAUUGGGAUUCUUUCUGCCGUUAGAAAAGUAGAUAAAAUCACAAAGAGACUGAAGCAUCUGCAUUAGGGUUGGCAGGUAGAACCUUAUAAAUUGAAAGUUCGUAGCCGUGGUUCUCAUAUAAUUAUAAACCAUGCAAGAAUGGUGAAGGAUGUAAUGAGCCAUCUCUGUGUGGCUUAGAAGUUAGAGGUUUGGAUUAGGUAGACAAACUGAAACCUCAUUAGAGAAGUUAGAUCCUUAAGUCCAAUCAAAACUCAUUAAACUCAUUAUAGGUGCAAGUAAGCCUAUUAAACUGAUUAACAUUUCAUUUUUCUCCUAUGGUCUCCCCUUUUGAAGUCAUAAUUGGUGGUUUUUUUAAUCAAAUAAUUGGUCGUCUUCGUUUAUAGUUUUUCCCCCUUUUUUUGGUAUAGUUCUUUUGAAGCUAUUUUUAAUGAUUGAAAGGCUUCUUUUUUUUUCUUUUUUUUUUUCACUUGGUAUGAUAGAAUUUUAGUAUUAAAGUAUCUGUUUCCACAAUAUUGAUGCUACCCCAUUCGGAGAUAAUAUAGAUCACAACAUCUUUAUAUGUAUAUCCAUUUCUUGACGUUUCUUGGUAGUGAUUUAGGAUGCUUUCUAUAGGUUGGAAGGCCUCAAGUUUCCUAUUUUUGGUUGUAUGGCACUUUCUCUACAAUAAGCAUUAAACAUAGUGAGGGAGGAGAGGAUGGAUAUUGAAACUUGUGCCACAAACCUUCAAACCUUAAAAACGUUGAUGAAAUGAAAAUGUAGGAAUAUAGAUAUUACACCCAGUCUACUGUUAUGCGAGGAAAUUAAUGUUGCUCCCUGAUCAUUUAAUAACCAUGUGCACGCAUCUUGGACAAGUCAUUUAAUUUUUCUUGUGCCCCAAUAGCUUAUGCCAUCAUAUUUUUCUUUUCAUGUGUUCAUGCAUUGAUUGUUCAACAUUACCCAGCAUGUUGCAAUUAGGGAUCCAUCGCAUGUUUCCUUUUGGCAGGGGGACCUUGCCAUCUACCUAAUAUUGGUUGUGUUGCAUUUGUCUUCUUACCCAAUUAAAUUUUCGCUUUCUUUAGACUUACUCUAGAUCAAAAAGUGUUCUAUUAUCAUAAUUAAAGUGCUUGCUUUUUGUAAACCUUACGCUCUAGAACUAGCAAAGCAAUUAUCUAAUUAAAGACUUUCCAACGCCUAAUUCAAUUGUUUAGCUUGAGCAUAUGAUUGAUGGAAACAGGAUUUUAUUUCUUCAUAUUCUUAAUGUUUUUGCAUAGAUUACAGUUUUCCAAUAGAAAGUGGCUUAAAGUUUUCCAAGAAAUUAAGAGAAAAAUCAAAUCAUAUGACAUGGAUACGCUAACUGCCUUCCAUUAUUAACAACAUAAUCUUCACCUAAUUUUGCGAGAUUGGCCUUCCCCUCCCAGCUGCAUUCGCCACCUUCGCCACACUUGACUCCCCUUCACUUUCUCCUCUAAGGAACAACCGGAAAAGAUAACAGAAACACAUUAUGAUUUUACCCCUGAGAAACACAGAUAAAUAGCAAACAAAAUGUAAGCAGCAGCAGCAUACUUACCAGUUAGUUAUCCACUUCUCUGUCCUCCCGAAUAUCUGUUAUUAUAACAGAAGGCACGUGUUGAAUUUUGUAGAAAUCCUCUCCUCCUUCCCCAACCCUUGUACAGAAUCUCCGAAGCAUAAGUCUGAUUGUUAGUUCCUUGAGGGUGGUAACAUGCUCAAGCCCCUCAGGAACUGCCCUCAAUUCCAAGCAACUGUCAAUAGACAAUCUGCAGAGACUAGGCAUGCCUCCUUUCUCUAUGCUCCAACUCUUUAAUCCCCUCAACCCAUAAAGUGAAAGAAAUUCAAGAUUAGGAUAACCUUCUUCUGAGACAACUACUUGUGAAUCAUUCUCGUCCAAACUUACACAAUGAAGCCAAAGCAUUCUUAAGUUUGGGAUCUUCUCAAGUAUUUUGAGACUCUCCAACGGUAGAUUAGUAUCCCACAGCGACAUCUUAGUGAGGUUUUGAUAGUACUGGAGACCUUCCAAUGAUUUAUCUCUCAUUCUCCCUGCCAACUCAAGGUUGUAUAUAUGAGGACAACUCAAUACCAUAUUCAUUGGCAUAACUUCAUCCCCCACUGAUAGAGAUAGAGAUCGAAUAUGGUUAAAUGUGAUGCCAGUAGAUUUCAACAUUUCCUCCAUAUUUUUCACCCCACCUGUUAUGAUGAACAGUUUUCUGAGAUUGGUCAAUUCAGCAAGAUGAUUCAAAUCACAAUCAGCACCUGCAACAUUGACUAAACUCUGCAAAUUCCCAAGAGUAGCCAACUUCAACUUCCCUCUGUACCCCGAAACGGGUAAAUAUAAAUGUCUCAAUUCUUUCAUCUUCCAAAUCACAUUUGGUACUUUCACCCCCGACCUUCUCAAGCGUAAGUCUAGAGUUUGCAAACAUACCAAAUUACCUAAAGAUGAUGGCAACCGACUUACCUUACUUCUCCUUAGACUCAAAAACCUUAAGUGGACUAGAUUCCCAAUAGUACUCGGCAACUCUACUUCUUCUCUCCAUAUGCCUUCAAACUUUAGAACCCUGAGCAAUUUGAAGUUGCAUACUACUGACCGCAAGAAUUUUUUCUUCCAGUUGGAGAAUCCAUAUUCUGGGUCGACAAAGAAUAACAAAGACCUAAGGUGGUCAUUUCUUGUGGGAGCAAAGCUUUCAACACAUUUUUCCUCCACAUAUACACCAAGUCUUCGAACUUUAGGAAUUGUCGCUGCCUUGGUUAUCGUGCUAGUAAAAUUUACAACGUGAAGAAAGUCCUCCUCUUCUGCCUUUACCAAGCACAAGUCUCGCAUAAGAUCAUGAAGAUGACAUGUUUUGAUCUUCUUAGUUGAACCAAGUGUUCCAACUUGAACCAUACAUCUUUGCACCAACUCACUUAAGCAAGUAUAUGCUACAUCUUCCAAUACUUCCGCUGAACCAUGUCCUUGGGAUGCUGAAGAUAUAAAACCUUCUGCUAUCCAUAACUGACGCAAUCUUUUGACUGGUAUCUCAUAAUCCUCUGGAAAAUGGCCUAAAUAUAGAAAACAUAGUUUUAAACGAUAUGAUAACUCGUCAUAACUCAAUGCUAACACCCUUAAUGCACCUGCAUAUUCUUGAUCGCCUUUAUAUUCUUGGUCAAGAUUAGUUCCUCUCCGUAUAUAUACAUCAACAUUCUCGUGUACUUUUUUCCACUCCUCAACUGUGACUUUUCUAGCUAGAAGUCCCGCAAGCACAGUAAUGGCUAAUGGUAGACCUGCACAAUGUUUAAGCAUCUCCUUUCCUAGUUUUUCCUUCUCAGGAUCAAUUUUAGAGUCUGAAAAAAAUUAAGAAAAAUAGGUUAAAUAUUAUGUCCUAGACUAAUCACUCGCAAGCACAAUAAUGGCUAAUGGCAGACCUGCACAAUGUUGAGGCAUCUUCUUUCCUAGUUCUUCCUUCUUAGCAUCAAUUUCAGAGUCUGAAAAAAAUUAAAAAAUGGGUUAAUUAUUAUGUCCUAGACUUGGUCAUUCUGAAGAUAUUCUGUAUAUGUUGGAUUUUUUUUUUUUUUUUUUACAGUAGAACAUAAAUCUCAGCCUCUGAUUUCUCAAGAAAAUGAAUUUCUUCGUUCCAAAAUAGUUACAUGAAAUGCAGUAAUCUCUAUCAAAUAGUUAACUAAAGUUAUUAGAGUUUUGGUUGAUAACAAGGAAGAAGACGAGGAGAAAACCAAAAUUAAAUAAUGUUCCGUGAGGUCAAGCGUCAAGGAUUAUAAGUUCAUAGCAUCUUUUGAACUAUUUUUUGGUACUCGCGGUGCUCGAAUGAAUUUUUAAUGAAAUAUUGGAACCUCACGUGACAGCUAAGGUGUGGCUGACUUGCCACGUGACAGCUGCUGGAGUGACCAGGAGUGGUGCUGAUGUAAUUGUAUGGACUGAAAAAAAGAGAACAAAAGGAAGAGUGAAAUGGCAGGCUGCCAUUCGAUCGAAUAGUUAAUGCAGUUGAAGCGGUGCGGUGCACCUGAUCUAAAUCAUAAGAUUUUGAUUGUUUUUCUUCGUUGUCUAAAGCAAAGUCUGGAGAAACAUUCAAGAUUAUGCGAUCUCUUUCACUCAAACAUUCAAAUAAAAUUUCUAUCAUAAUUUUUUUAUGUACCGCACCAAAUUCAAUUCCGUUUUCACUUACGGAUUUCUGGAGAAAAACAUUACAAAUUACAAUCUGAGGUAGGGGUUUCUGAAUUUGAUUUGUCUCACUUUACUGCUUGAAAUUGACAUUUAACUUUUUUUUUUGUCUCACUUCACUUCAUUUUGUUAAAAGAGUUUAAAAUGUCAAUUUCAGAAAGUAAAAUAAGACAAAUCAAUUUCAAAAAUAAAAAAAAAUUGAUGCUAAAUGACAGUUUUAUGGGGUAUUUGAUUUACUAAGCCUUAAAAGAUAAUGUCAUCUCUUUCACUCAAACCCCCAAAUCAAAUUUCAAUCAUAAUUUUUUUUUUAUUUGCUUCACCAAAUUUGAUUCCGUUUUUGCCUCCGGACAUUUUGGAGAAAAGUAUUACAAUUUACAUGAGGUAAGAAUUUCUAAGUUUGCUACAGAUUUCGAAAUGUUGCCAUCAGUGGCGGAUCCAGGAUUUUAACUUAGGGUGGUCCCAAUAUAAAAGUUCCAAAAAAAAAAACAAGACGAAAAUAUCAUUGAACAAAUAAAUGGCAAACUACAAAUUUCAUUCAUAAUCUUUGUGCUAAACAAGCUAGAAAUAUUAAAUUUGUCCACGACGGGAUCUCAUACUUUGAAAACGUGUCAUGAUAGUUUCAUUGUCAAUACAAGAAAAAACAUCUUUCUCAAUAUAAACAACUAAGCUAUCAUUUAACCAUUGAUCCCUCAUUAUGUUGCAGAGUGGACUCUUAAUGAUAUUCAUGGCAUAAAAUGCUCUCUCCACUGAAGCAGUUGCAACAGGUAAAACCAAAGCCAAUUCAAUAAGUAAAUACACAUAUUGAAAUACUCGAUGUAACCUUUUUUCCACCAUUUUCUUAGCAAGAUCACUAAUGAUUUGCAACUGAGAAAAGUCACUUCUCGAACGCAUACAACAACAACAACAACAACAAAGCCUUUUACCACUAAGUGGGGUCGGCUAUAUGAAUCCUAGAACGCCAUUGCGCUCGGUUUUGUGUCAUGUCCUCCGUUAGAUCCAAGUACUCUAAGCCCUUUCUUAGAGUCUCUUCCAAAGUUUUCCUAGGUCUUCCUCUACCCCUUCGGCCCUGAACCUCUGUCCCGUUGUCUGAGCCAUGAACAGAAGGAAAGACAGAUUCCAUUGACAGAAUAUUGAGCAAAUAGGGAUUCUUUCUGCUGUUAGAAAAGCAGAUGAAAUCUCAAAGUAGAGCAGCUUGAAAUAAUUACUUAACUGAAGCAGCUGCAGAUGCAUUAGGUUUGGCAGGGUAGAACCUUAUGGAUUGAAUGUUGGUACCCAUGGCUUUCAUAAAGUUAUAAACCAUGCAAGAAUGGUGCAGGAUGUAAUGAGCCAUCACUGUAUGGCCUAGAAGUUAGCUCCAUUGAUGAGGAUUGGAUUAGGUAGACAAACUGAAACGUCGUUACAGGAUCUGAGCUCACACUCAAAGUUGGUUUGAAUGGUUUAGUUAGAUCCUUAUGAACAUGAAACUGAAUAGAGGAUUAGUGUUCGAAAGAGAGAGAGAGAGAGUGAGAGUGUGGCUUCCCUGGGCUGUAGCCAGUGGCGAAGCUACGUGAGGACGAGGAGUGGCAGCCGCCCCUCCCCUCGCCGGAAAUCAAGCCCAGGAGCGGUGGUUCCGCCCCUCCGGUCACGUCGAAAGCGAUAAAUUUCCGUCUGGUUUUCGACCUUUUGGAUGUCCCUGCUCUAUCCCAGCAUAGGCUGAUUGCGUGCUCUCUUAUUUUCGAAAAACCUAAGCCAAAGAAAGGAGAAACGAAGAUCUGCAUUUUGCAGCUUCUGGAAACUAGAAAUUUAGUUCUGGAACACUGGUUCGAACGAAGAAGAAGGGAAAGGAAGAAGAGAGAGACUUUCUCUCUCCCAUCUCACCCCACCCCACGUGACCUUUCUUAAUUACAAUUUGUUUUUUUUUUUUUAAAUAUUGGCCAAUCAAUUGGCACCACCAACCUGCUUUGAUUUAUUUUUUAAUUAUUGUUAAAUUAAUUUGACCACUCUUUCAAUAUUUUUUAAGCCAUUUGUUUGACACUAUUAUUCAUCUUAAAAUUCAUUAUAAAUUUAUACGAGCUUCAAAAAAUAAUUUGUAAAAUAUUACGAACUCGUCAUUAUUUUUUUUCUUUCUCUUACCAUCAAAUUCAACAAAGUAAUAAAGAAAAUUUGUCAAUAUUUUUAUAUAUUAUAUGUUUUAUAAUAAAUAUUUUUUGGAUAUUAUAAGCUAUAUAAUAAAUAGACAAUUAUUUAUACGGUAUAUAAUAAAUUUAUUCAAAUUUGCCUAGGCCCUCGCCUUAAUGUAAAGUCAUGUCCAUUGCCCGAUUAGAGCUUAGCAUCUUUUAAAACUUUGCUAAUUAUACAGUUAAGUAAUAGGACGAUACAAAGAGAAACGGUGCUAAAUCAUCCUUCAAAUAAUAUUGUUGUUCAAACCCUCCUUCGACUAUUUUGAGUAGUCCAAAUCUUCUUUUGAAUAUUUCGGUUAGUGCAAAUUCUUCUACGGGUAGUUCAAAUAAUCUUCUUGCAAAUCCUAGACUUAAACCUCGAAUAAAUGUUCACAUUUUUCGGGACCCUAAAUUUUUUAAAUUUCGCCCCUCCUCUCAAGAAUUCCUGGCUUCGCCACUGGCUGUAGCACGGGACAGUUCUUGCCCAAUCAGUUUUUGACAGAGGUUUUUCCAUUUUUAGGCUAUGAAAAUCAGAUGAGAGAGAGAGAGAGAGAGAAGGAGAUUGUGGCUUCCCUGGGCUGUAGCACGGGACAGUUCUUGCCCAAUCAGUUUUUGACAGAGUUUUUUUCCAUUUUUAGGCUAUGAAAAUCAGAUUUAAAUAAAUUUAUCCCAGGUUUUAUUAGUUUAAUAAGUCCAAUCAAAACUCAUUAAACUAAUUAUAGGUGCAAGUAAGCCUAUAAAACUGAUUAUCAUUCCAUUUUUCUUCUACAGUCUCCCCUUUUCAAGCCAUAAUUGGUGGUUUUUUCAUCAUAUAAUUGGUCAUCUUCGGUUAUACUUUUUUUUUCCCUUUUUUUUCUCAAAUAAUAUUAGCCCAACCCUCUGAAAAAUCCUAGCUCUGCCCUUUCUUGUGUCUAUCAUUUUGCAUUAAGAACUUUACAUUUUACCACGUUUUUUGGGUGGUAUAGACGGAGAGUAAUUGGAGGAAUUUUUAGGGAGAAAGGGGCGGGGAAGUGGAUCACUUGUGGUAUAUGGUUUGAUUUUGGUAUCCCUUUGGUGCCGGAUCUUCAGAGUUUUGGUAUAAUUCUUUUGAAGCUAUCUUUAAUGAUUGAAAAGCUAUUUUGCUUUAGCUAUUUUUUAUUUUUUUCACUUGGUAUGACAGAAUAAUUAUGAUUAUCCUUUUAUUUAUUGUAGAUAAGCAGCUUAGAAUUAUAAGUGGACGUAUAAAAAUAAAAUAAAUUUUUCUCUUUUAAGUAUCUGUUUCCACAGUAUUCGGAGCUAAUAUUAUUUUUAUAUGUAUUUCCAUUUCUUGACGUUUCCUGGUGAUGAUUUAGGAUGCUUUCUGUUGUACGGCCCUUUAUCUACAGUAAGGAUUGAACAUAGUUAGGGAGGAGAGGGAUGAAAAUUGAAACUCCUGCCACAAAUCCCCAAAACCUUAAUGUCGAUGAAAUGAAAAUGUAGGAACAUAGAUAUUCCACCAAUCUACUGGUACUCAUUUAUAAAAUGAAGCAAGGGAAUUAACUACGCCAAGAUGGUUAUCCAUUAAUGUUGCUCUCUGAUCAUUUAAUAACAAUUUGCACUCAUCGAGGACAAGUCAUUUAAUUUGUCUUGUGCCUCAAUAUCGUAUGCCAUCAUAUCUUAUUGUAGGACAUUGAUUGUUCAACAUUACCUUGCAGAUGAAUCAAGUUAUCUGUCGUAUGUUUCAUCUUGGCAGGGGACUUCGCCAUGCAUAUUGGGCGGGCACCAAAUUUUUUGCUGUUCUAUAUCAUACUAGAUAAAGUGCUUGCUUUCGUUCUUGGAAGACUAGAUUCAACAUUCAGGCACCAGCAGCGUCAUUCACUGGUGGGCUAGUUGGGGAUUCAUCCCCUUAUGCUGUACUACCUCAGGUAAUUCUCAACGGUCAACUGGAAGGAGGUGCAAUUUAAUAGGAUAACAUUUCAGUUUAUCAAAUCAAAUGGGCAAACAAAACUCCUCGGUUGGAUGGUGCUGCUUGUUGACUGUACUGACAUCAUGUAAUUUUGAAUAGAUGGUAGGUUUAGGCUGUUCUGGUUCUUAUAGUCAGCUCUCUGUAAACCUUAUGCUCUAGAACUAGCAAAGCAAUUUAGUAACUAAAGACUUCCCAAUGCCCAAUUCAGUUGUUUAGCUUCAGCGUAUGGCCAAGCGGAAGGAAGAAAGCUCUUCACCCCCUGUUAGUAUGUUGAGUGCUCUUGAUUGAUGAGAUGAUAUAUUCUAUUUAUCGUAUUCAGAACUAGGUUAUUUUACUUGAGAGAUAUAGUUUUUUAUUUCUUCAUAUUCUUAAAUGUUUAUUAUUUCUUCAUAUUCUUAAAUGUUCUGAUUGCCUUAUCUGCUUGUGGUGGUGAGCAACGUGGGACAAUGAAAUUCUACGCAAAAUUUCUAACAUACACUUGAGGGUUUAUGUUUCGGUGGCAUGCACAUGAGAAGGCACCACUCCACUUUGUCAUCCCCGUUGCCAUUGUGGCAUUGCAGAGUUUGGAUAAUGCGAGGCAUUACUUCUUGUUAUCAAUUGGUAUGCUUCUUCUUGAUUUAAUUUCUUCGCAGAGAAAUGAGGGGAGAUUUGUUUGAGUGGGGGUUAUCAGCUUCAGGAUAGCUGCCAAACUUUUAUAAAAAGGUUUCAAUACAUCUUCAAAACUUAAAUGUUAGGGAGUCUUUGACUAAAGAUCACUGAGACUCAGUAUUUUGUAGAAAUCAUCUCCUCCUUUCCCAACCCUAUUACAGAAUUCCCGUGGCAUGUUUGUGAUUGUUAAUUCCUUGAGGGUUUUAACAUUCUCAAGCCCCUCAGGAACUGCCCUCAAUCCCCAGCACCACUCAAUAGACAAUCUUUCCUUGAGGGUUUUGAACAUUCUCAAGCCCCUCAGGAACUGCCCUCUAUCCCCCGCACCACUCAAUAGACAAAUCUGCGGAGGCUACCCAUACCUCCUUUCUCUAUGCUCCAACUCUUUAAUUCCCUCAAAUAUUCAAGUGAGAGAAAUUCAAGAUUAGGAUAACCUUCUGUUGGGACAACUAUUUCUGAAACAUUCUCCAAACUACCAGUACGCAACCAAAGCAUUCUUAAGUUUGGGAUAUUCUCAAGUAUUUUGAGACUCUCCAACUGUAGACCAGUAUCGAACAGCGACAUCUUAGUGAGGUCCUCAUAGCCCUGGAGACCUUCCAAUGAUUGUUCUCUGAUUUUCCCGCUCAAUUGAAGUUUGUAUGUAUGAGGACAACUCAAUCCCAUAUUCAUUGGUAUAACUUCUCCAGGAGAGUACACAGAUAGAGAUCGAAGAUGGUUAAAUGUGAUGCCAGUAGAUUUCAACAUUUCCUCCAUAUUUUCCACCCCACCUCUUAUGAACAGUUUUCUGAGAUUGGUCAAUUCAGCAAGAUGAUUCAAAUCACAAUCAGCACCUGCAACAUUGACUAAACUCUGCAAAUUCCCAAGAGCAGCCAAGUUCAACCUCCCUUUGUACCCUCUGGGUAAAUAUAAAUGUCUCAAUUCUUUCAUGCUAGACAGUUGAGGGUAGGCAGGAUGAGAUUGAAUUAGAUGUUGGAUUUAAUGCCAAAUCCAACAAUUAUUUAUCCUAAGGAGGAGGGGGUAGCCUCUCAAUGGGCUAGUAAUAAUGUGGUUCAAACUCGGAUUUGACGAGAAUUGAACCUAAGACCUCUCACUUACAAGUGAAGAGGAAUAUCAUUAGACCGUAGUAUUAAGUAGCUCAAGUAAAAUUGUUAUGUGUGCAUAUUGAAAUAACAGUCCUAAAAUCGCUACUCGCUUGGGAGUUUUUUUACAAGCUUUUUAUUUGCAUUUGUGUUUGGCCAUCAGCUCUGUAACUUUUCUGUUAUGAUUUUCUCAUUAAGUUUUGUUACUUAAGGGUGGGUAUCUACCAAACUUUUAUAAAAACGUAUCAAUACAUUUUCAAAAUUUCAAUGUUAGGGAGUCUUUUGACUCAAGAUCAUUGAAACUGAGUGGAUAAUUAAUAUUUAAGUGUUUGAAUUGAGUGUUUUUGAAAGCAUUUGUAAUUGAUGGAAGGAAAGAACAAACCUUUUGCAGACAACACCGGAGCCCCAAAAAAAAUCAUUAAAAUAUCCAAUUUGAUUUGGUACUCUACAAUUAUAUGAUUGGGAGUUCGUUAUGCCAAAAAACAAAUAAAAAAUCAUUCAAAUGUGGUUCUAUUUAGAAUUCCUUUGAAACAAAAUAUUAUUUCAUUUGUGCUAUUGAUCCUUCGUUUCCUACUCAUACACUCAUGAUUUUUUGCAUAGAUUACAAAACAAUUAUCGUAAACCUAUUCUUGCAUUUCAUUGCACAUGUUAUUAGCACUAUUGUGGCAUCGACUAUGGACAACUGUUUUUGCAUAGAUUACAGAUCACCAAGGCUUACAGCUUCCCAGUUCCAAGUAUAAAACAAAGAGAAAUUAAGCAAAUCACUAAAAAAUCUUAGUUUUAAUUGACCUUUUGUAUACAUACCAUUAAAGAGUAUAUAUGAUAUGAACAAUUAUGUUUAUAAACACAAAUCGGGAGUAAUGAAGAGCCAAACAUUGUUAUUAUUGGAAGGCUUUUUAUAUUAGCACCCCACAAAGUGUUGAAUUUAUCCCACAUUAAAAUUUAAUAUUAAAUGACAUAUUUACCUCACUAUGCAAUAACAAUUUUGACCUUAUUAGGCUUUUUUUUAAAAAAAAAAUUUCUAAAUACACCCCAAAUCUCUUUUAGCAUAUUAUUUAUCUUCUCAACUAUCAAAACCCUCUCAUUCUCCAUUGUUGAACAAAACCCUAACCAAUGAAACUACGAACAUGUUGAUUGAGAAAAAUUGUUUUUGGCGAAUAGAACACGAACUCGAUGUUUCGGAAGCUUCAUAUGAGGUAAGAUUUCAUAUUUUUCAUUGUUUUAGUGAUUUUGAUGACAUCGAUAAUUAUUUAUCUUGCGUUUGUUACGUUAUUUAAACUUCUAUAUUCAUAUUCAUCUUUUAGGGUUCAAAUUAAUCUUGCGUACCCAAUAACAUGAAUCAUAUUAGUGCUAAAGUCAUAUACUAUUACAAAGUAGGUAACCCGCUCUGCCUCAAAUAACGAGUUCAAAGCGUAAUUGUUAGGUGAUAUGGAAGUGAAAAGAAACCUAAAAGCUUGGAGGAAGUGGGGUGUAUAGAAAAUUAAAAAUGAGUGUUAUAAGAUUUGAGAAAUGUGGGGUGUAUGUAUAACAUAUAAAGUGUACAUUGAGAAUAUGGGGUGUGGGGGUAUUAUGAGAAAGUAUGUGGUGUGUAUUAAGAUAAUUUUUAAGUGAAAAAAUAAAUGUGGGGUGUAUUAAGUAUGUAGGGUUUAUUUAACAAUUUGUGGGAUGUUAAUAUAAUAAACCUUAUUGGAAAUGCGUUUAACGGGCCCAAACUGACUAAAGCCCACAAGGGCCACAACGGCCUCAACAAAACGCAUACCCAUUUCCUCCUCCAUUUCCACAACCCAAAAAGUCCGAAGCCAUUUCCGAAACAAAAAACCCUCUCCCCAAACUCCACCAUCUGUCUCUCUGACCUUGCGAGACCCCUUCCUCCGCCACUCUCUCUCUGCGACCCUGCGACCCUGCGAGACCCGAGCGACACCUCACUCCGCCACCAUGCUGCGCCAAGCCACCACCUUCUGACCCGAUCAGCUAUCCCCCUCAGCGCCAGUCCCUUUUCCACCGACGUCGCUGCGACUGCCCCAGCUGGUUCUACUUUUAGCGACGCCUGGAAGAAGGCGGUGCCUCACAUAGAACCCCCCAAGACCCUAUUGACCUUCAUGAAAGCCUCGGCCUGCAACCCCGUCGUCGAUCCCCACUAAGCUCCCUGUCAACUUUGUGCUCCCUUAUGCGUCCGAACUUUCGGCCAAAGAGGUCAGUUUUCGAGAGAUUUGUUGUGGGUUUUCUGCAAUUUUUUGGUCUGAGGUUUGAUUUGAGAUUUAUGUGAUAUGGAUUUUGUAUGAUUUAAUGCGGGUUCAUCUGGGUUUGGUGCUAAUUGUGGUUUUCAAGUCGAACUUGUUGGCUCUAGUUUGAAUUGGGUAUUCUGCUGUUUUGAGUAGGUUUGGAUGGGUUUGGAGCUAAUUCGAUAUUAAUUCCAUUUCCUCUCCUUCAUCAAGCUCUGUGACUCCUUUUAGUCCUUUUGAUUGGUAAAUGGGUAUGGAAAUCAGACUUGAGCAACAUAGCUGAGUGGGUUAGAGCAUGGUUGCAUGCCAAAAAAAAAAAAAAUGUCACGGUCCCGUUGGCAGUUAAAUUGUUACUUGUUAUGUCGAUGCAGACAUGAUUGCUGUAGAGGCUGUCCCUCUUGAUCGUGUCGAUGCAAGUCUUGUCCAGAAGGGGCUUGCAGAGUUCACCCAGAAGCUCAACUCAGUGUCGACUGACUUAGAGAAAUCUGAAGCCCAGGUUGGGGUUGAUGUGCAUAGUGCCCUCAACUCUGAUCUCACUGGCUAGUUUUACUAGUCUUUGUGUGAUUGUGGACCAUUUGCAUUUCCAGGACAAUAGGUUUUUGCUUGGGAUUUUGUUGAUUUCGCUUUUGUGUUUGGAGGAAGCGAGGGACUUGAUUUGUGGGCUUGCUUUUUCUGUGUUGUUGUGCUUCAAGCAUUUGUUUGCGGUCGUGGCACCUGUUUUUUUGUUUACUUGUUGAGGCAUUAUUGUUAAGGAUUGGUGAGGAUUUGGAGGAAGAAAGCUCUUCACCCCGUGUUAGUAUGUUGAGUGCUCUGGAUUGAUAAGAUGAUAUAUUUUAUUUAUCAUACUCAGAACUAGGUUAUUUUACUUGACAGAAACAGUUUUUUAUUUCUUCAUAUUCUUAAUGUUUUUGGGUCCUAAUUUUUGUGAAUUGAUGAAAUGGUAGGUCAUCCCUUUGACAACCUUUAUCCUGGUUCUGAUUGCCUUAUCUCCUUGUCUCAUUGAAGCUUGGAGCCAUCCACUGCCAUCGUUGAUUACAAGAUGUGUUGCCUAUGCAUAUACUUGUGGGUUUAUGUUUGGGUGGCACUUUCAUGAGAAGGCAUCACUCCACUUUGUCUCUUGCCAUUGUUGCAGUGCAGAGUUUGGAUAAUGUGAGGCUUUACUUCUUGUUAUCAAUUGGUAUCCUUCUUCUUGCUUUCAUUUCUUCGCAGAGAAACGAGGGGGGUUUCCUUGAGAGAUUUGUUUGAGUGGGGGUUAUUAUGUUUCAGGUAACUAUCAAACUUUAUAAAAAGGUUUCAAUACACCUUCAAAACUUCAAGGUUAGACAGAACAAACCUUUGUAAUUGAUGGAAGGAGAGAACAAACCUUUGCAUGCAACACCCAAGCCCCAAGUAAAUAAUCAAAAUAUCUGAUUUGAUCUGGUAUUCUGCAAUUAUAUGAUUGGAAGUCCAUUAUGCCGAAAAAUAAAUAAAAAAUCAUUCAGAUGUAAUGCUGUUUAGAAUUCUUUUAAAAAGGUUUUUCUGCUCCAUUCUUUCAACGUUCUGUACCUUUCUUUAGCGUCAAAAUUUCCCCAAAAUACGGCUAUUGUGUUGCAACAGUGUAUGUUACAGUAUUCAAAACAAAGCCUUAAUAUGUUGGUUUUCCAUUUGCUAUUAAUUCUUCGUUUGCCACUCAUACACUCAUGUUUUUUGUGCAGUGUUUUCUAUGCAGUUUCCUGCGACUCGCUGUUCCCACUUCUACAUGAAGCGCUUCAGGAGUAUCCAGUAAAGGUUUUAUUGCUGUAGCUCCCAGAUCACUACUCUCUCUAUCUCCUUUCUUUCUUGUCGUGUUCUCUCUCUCCUUUUUCUCUCGUGGUAUUCCCUCUCCCUCUAAACACCAUCUUCUCGUCAUCAAAUAACGGCCUUCCGGACAAUCACGAUUUCGUAUGAUUUUAUCUUACUUUUUUUUUAGGGAAUCUGCAGCACUGCUGUCUUUCCUAUUUGAUAUUUGUCUAAUUUCUUAUGAGUCCUUGACACCUAGUGUGACUGUCGCAAUCUGAAAACUAACGAAGUCUCUUUCUAUGCAUAAUAAAAAUUAUUUUCUUCUCCCUUUCCAUAUGCAUGGCAUAAAAAUUGUUUUAACACGGACUACUUAAUUUUUUUAUUAGUUUUAACAAAUUACUUAAAAUUGUUUUUGCAUAAAUUACCGAAAAUUAAUUUUGCAUUGGCUACCAACAACUGCUUUUGCACAAAUUCCUAAUAACUAUUUUCACGUCGUUUGCAUUACUCGCGGUUUUUGUGUUGUUGCAAAGGACAACUUUUUAAUUUUUUUGCACUUGGUAUGGUUGAAUAUGAAACUCGUUUUCCUCGUUAAAUCUAUUUCAAAUAUAAAACAUUUAUUUUAAUAAACUAUUGAAAUUGGUUUUUGACGAAAUUUACAUAACUGUUUUGCCAUAAAUUUGAACAACUGUUUGUGCACGAAAUUUCAACAACUCUUUUUCAUAAAGAAGAUCAAUACUUAGUUACUCAAAAGAUGAGUUUUAUUCAAAACUGUUUGUUUUCGAUUCAUAAUAUUUAGUGUAUGUGAUCUGAAUCGUUCAUAUUAUUAAUCAUUUUAUAAAGAUUACUUUUGCAAAAAAUCAAUUAGAAAUAAGGUUGUUUGGUUAUCAAAAUGUAUAAAAAAAACAGAUGAACGAAAUUUGUAGAAGCAUUACGAAUUGCUAAGUAUUUACUACAAUAAAUUUCAUUUUUUGCAUGGAUAUUUUUUACAAAGUUUCAUAAUAUGAACACUUAUGAUCACAAGCACAAAACUUUGUUAUUCAAACUCGAAAAGUUUUGAGUAAGAAUUACAACUUAGAAAACUGUUUUUGCACGAAAUUGAAAAUAGUAUUUUUGCACAUCAUUUUAGACUACUGAAAACUAUUAUGGCACCCAUUAUCAAAACGAUUAUCUUGGACAACUGUUGAUGCAUUUGGUUGCAUAUGUUAUUAGUAACUAUUGUGGCAUCGACUAUCGACAAAUGUUUUUUCGUUUUUACAUGUACACACCAUUGAAAACUGUUGUGCUUAUUAUUAGUAGACUAUUGACAACAGUGAAUUUGUUAAUGAAUGGUAGAUACAAAUGCUAAUACAUGAAUUAAAUGGAGCAUCCUAAUAAAACAAGUUGUGUAAUGUAAUGCAACUGCUAAUCACCAAGGCUUUUACAGCUUCCGAGUUGGGACACUGCUUCCCUUUCUUGAUCCUUGCCUUACCACGAUCUAACUAGUAUAAAACAAAAUUAAGCAGUCAUAUUGCUGUCCUGUGCAUAUGAUACUUACCACAUCGAUGCGCUAGCUGCCUUCAAUUAUUAAGUCAUUAAGAAGAGAAUUUUCACCUGAUUUUGCGAGAUUGGCCUUGCCUUCCCCUUCCCAGCAGCAGCAUCCGCCACCUCUGCCCCACUCCACAUUAUGAUUUACCCAUGAGAAACUGAGAUAAAAUAGCCGCACAACACAAAACACAAUUAAUAUAAGUAGCAUGCUUACCAGUUAUCCACUUCUCACAUUAUUGUAACAGAAGGCACAUGUUUAAUUUUGUAGAAAUCCUCUCCUUCCCCAGCCCUACUACAGAAUUCCCGUCGCAUGCCUAUGAUUGUUAGUUCCUUGAGGGUACUAACAUGCUGAAGCCCCUCAGGAACUGCCCUCAAUUCCAAGCAUUCUAUAAUAGACAAUCUGCAGAGAUUAGGCAUGCCUCCUUUCUCUAUGCUCCAACUCUUUAAUUCUUCCAUCCCACCAAGUGAAAGAAAUUCAAGAUUAGGAUAACCUUCUUCUGAGACAACUACUUCUGAUGAAACAUUCUUGUCCAAACUACCAGCAUUAAGCCAAAGCAUUCUUAAGUUUGGGAUCUUCUCAAGUAUUUUGAGACUCUCCAACUGUAGUUUAGUCCAACUCAUCGACAUCUUAGUGAGGUUCUGAUAGUACUGGAGACCUUCCAAUGAUUCAUCUCUCAUUCUCCCUUCCAACUCAAGUUUGUAUAUAUGAGGACAACUCAAUACCAUUUUCAUUGGUAUAACUUCAGACCCCACGAAAAGAGAUAGAGAUCGAAGAUGGUUAAAUGUGAUGCCAGUAGAUUUCAACAUUUCCUCCAUAUUUUUCACCUCACCUUGUAUGAACAUUUUUCUGAGAUUGGUCAAUUCAGCAAGAUGAGUCAAAUCACAAUCAGCACCUGCAACAUUGACUAAACUCUGCAAAUUCCCAAGAGUAGCCAACUUCAACUUCCCUCUGUACCCCGAAACGGGUAAAUAUAAAUGUCUCAAUUCUUUCAUCUUCCAAAUCACAUUUGGUACUUUCACCCCCCACCCAACAUACAAGCGUAAGUCUAGAGUUUGCAAACAUACCAAAUUACCUAAAGAUGAUGGCAACCGUCUUACAUGACUUUCCCUUAGACUUAAAAACCUUAAGUGGACUAGAUUCCCAAUAUUACUCGGCAACUCUACAUAACUCAGUAUGCCUUCAAGCUUUAGAACCCUGAGCAAUUUGAAGUUGCAUACUACUGACCGCAAGAAUUUUUUCUUCCAGUUGGAGAAUCUAUAUUCUGGGUCGACAAAGAAUAACAAAGACCUAAGGUGGUCAUUUCUUGUGGGAGCAAAUUUAUCAACAAAUUCUGUUUCCACAUGUACACCAAGUCUUCGACCUUUAGGAAUUGUCGCUGUCUUGGUUAUCGUACUGGUAAAAUUUACAACGUGAAGAAAGUUCUCCUCUUCUGCCUUUACCAAGCACAAGUCUCGCAUAAGAUCAUGAAGAUGACAUGUUUUGAUCCUCUUAGUUGAACCAAGUAUUCCAACUUGAACCAUACAUCUUUCCACCAACUCAAUUAAGCAAGCAUAUGCUACAUCUUCCAAUACCUCCGCUGAACCAUGUCGUUGGGAACCCGAAGAUAUAAAACCUUCUGCUAUCCAUAACUGAGCCAAUCUUUUGACCGGUAUCUCAUAAUCCUCCGGAAAGUGACCUAAGUAUAGAAAACAUAGUUUUAGACAAUAUGGUAAGUCGUCAUAACUCAAUGCCAACACCCUUAAUGCACCAGCAUAUUCUUGAUCGCCUUUGUACUCUGUGUCAAGAUUAGUUCCUCUCCGUAUAUACACAUCAACGUUCUCGUAUACUGCAUUCCACUCAUCAAUUGUGACCUUUCUAGCUAGAAGUCCCGCAAGCACAGUAAUGGCUAAUGGCAGACGUGCACAAUGUUUGAGCAUCUUCUUUCCUAGUUCUUCCUUCUCAGCAUCAAUUUUAGAGUCUGAAAAAAAAAAAUUAAGAAAAAUAGGUUAACUAUUAUGUUCUAGACUAGUCAUUUGCAAGCACAGCAAUGGCUAAUGCAGACCUGCACAAUGUUGAGGCAUCUUCUUUCCUAGUUCUUCCUUUUCAGCAUCAAUUUCAGGGUGAAAAAAUUAAGAAAAAUGGGUUAACUAUUAUGUCCUAGACUUGUCAUUCUUAAGAUAUUCUAUGUAUGUUGUCAAUGUCCUUUUGGAUUGUUGAAUAUUUUUACAGUAGAACAUAAAUAUUAGUGUCUGAUGUCACAAGAAAAUGAAUUUUGGAAGGGAGAAAUCAUAGUUACAUGAAAUGCAGUAAUCUCAAUCAAUUAGGCUUAAUAGUUAACGAAAGUAAAGUAAUUAGAGUUUUGAUUGAUAACAAGGAAGAAGAGUAGAAAACUGAAAAUGUGGAAAUACAAAGGGAGAGAGCAACUCACGACCUGCUCUGUUGCUGCUCUCAAACAAGUCUCUUUAUUUUAGUUUUGGGUGUAGGGGUCGGCAGACUCGGCACAAGGGCAUUCUACAACAUGCAUGUUUUUUCAUUCAUCAUGGAAGGUUAGAAGUAACCUCUCCACCCAUAGAUACAUCAUUGCUUAGACUUUUUGGUAGCAACAACAAUAUUAAGUAAAAAUAUCUAGCUGCUUAGCUAAACCUAAACAGGCGCUGUGCACCGAUACUACCACCCAUCUUGGACGAUUUAAACUAGAGUAUGUCUCAAACUAAUACCCUAGACAUUCAUCAAUUCUCUUAGCGAUUUGGGACAAUGACCUUACCUCUCAUCAAUGUUUUUCAAGCCAAUCCCUAAAAUUUAUCCAAGCCAAUCAGUGUAUCAAAUUGUGAAACCUCGAAAAUGUAUUUGAAAGUGUUGUUAUAAUUUUAGGAGAAUUUUGGAGUUUCUUCAAAUUUGACGAUUGGUGGUCGGCUUUAAUUAUUAUUAUUUUUUUUUUUGCCAAACGAUAGAUUUUGUUAAAUUAGAUGUUAGAUUAGCCACCGACAGAGUUUGAACUCACGCCGUCAUCUAAGAGCUCAACACCUUUCCACAACAGUGGUAAAGAGCCACUUACAAGUCGGCUUUAAAUUUUAAAGAGGUGAGAAAAUAAGUAAGUUUUUUUUAGGUUAAAGAUGAAUUUUAAGUGAUGAGAUGAAAGUGGACAAAAUUACAAGUUCAUGGCAUUUUUGAAUUAUUUUUUAGAACCCAAUGAAUUUUUAAUACAAUUUUGGAAGGCCACGUGACAGCUAAGGUGUGGUUGACUUGUCACGCGACAGCUGCUAAGGUGGUGUGUUGACAGACAGUCAUGCAUGUAAGGACUGAAAGAAAAGAGAAGGAAGAGGAUCCUCUCCGGACCCACUGAAGGCCGAGUCGACAUCGUGGUUUCUCAGGAGUCGGUGUCGUGCUUCCCGAAGUCGGCGUCGUAGCCUCCAAAGAGCUAGUUAUCGGCAACAUCAUAGUAGUCGUCGCUAACUUGUGUUUGAAGUUUUCCAAUAAAUAAACAAAAAAAAAAGUGAGAAGAAGACUCAUAGUUGAAGAAUAAGGAUUAUUGAAGAAGAAGAAUUGAAAGAGGCAAGGAAGAAGAAGAAAAACUCCAAAGAAAAAAUGACGAAGGAGGAGGAUCCGAAGGGAUUGGGUCCGGAGAGAAUCCUUUCCCAAAAGAGAAGACAAAGUAAGAGAGAAACCAGUUUUAUUCAUUUGGACACCUGAUCUAAAUUAUAAGACCUGAUUGUUUUUCUUCUUUGUCGAAGUAAAGUCUUAAAGUGACAAUAACAGUUCCAUAUAGAUAAUGCUAUUUUUUUUUUCAUUGAAACACUAAAAUCGAAUUUUCUAUCAUAAUUUUUUAUGUACUUCACCAAAUUUGAUUAUGUUUUCGCUUACGGAUUUCUGGACAGGAGUAUUACAAUUUACAAUCUAAGGUAGGAAUUUCUGAGUUUGCUACAGAUUUCAAAAUGUUGCCAUUAGGGAAUUUAUCACUAAAUCAGCUUUAAUGUUCGAUUUAAAGUGUUUAUGUUGAGUUGAUCCUAUUAGGCUUGAUUUAAAUAUCUAGAAUUGUUUUGUUGUUGAAUCUCAUUUUGGUGAAAACUUGGUGAGAUGGAUUGAAUUAUGUAGUAUGAUUGACAAAACGGAAGUAGAACUUGGACUAAAAUGGUGAUUAUAAUGAAAAUGGAAGAAUGAAUAUGGAAUUUUACCUCUGUUGUACAGUUCCUGCAGCUGGGACCUUACUGUAAGGCGUACUAGGUCCUUAUUGUAAGAUUUAUUGAAGUUAUGUCCCUACUAGGUUGUUGAAGUUCACCCCUUUAUAUGUAGGUUUUCGAAUUAGACAGUCAAGAGGGUAGAUGGGAUGACAGUGAAUUAGAGGUGAGGUUAAAAGUUUAAUUUAUUUACUUUCUUUGUAGCCAUGUAAAGAGUUCUUGAGUUUCUUUUUAUAAGAAGAAUUUAUUUUUCACUCCGUUUCAGUUUCUUAUUAUUCUUUUUUUUUUAAAACAUUUGGGUUGCAUUCAAGAUUCGGGAUUUUCCAGCAACUCGGGUCCGGUGCAUGACACAGACGCACCCUAAGUUAAACGAUUAGGGACAAUUAUGUGCGUACUAUAUCGAAAUCAUUAUAAGUGAAAUGCAAUGAUCUCUAUUUUAUUAGGCUUAACAAAUAAACAAAAAUAAAAUAAUGAUAAUAGAGUUGACUGAGAAGUGAGAAACAUACUUGUUUGAUCUCUCCCAAAGAUUGCUAUCUUCUUAAACAGUUCCAAGCAUCCCUCAUCAUCUAGCGCAUGAGAUACAUGAACGAAACCAUUUUCUCCAGCAAUUUCAGCAACGUCCUUCUUCCGAGUGGUGAGUAAUAUACGACUCUUUGUUUCCGCACCGAUUGGAAAUCCAUUUUUCAAAGAGUUCCACGCAUCACGAGUCCAAACGUCAUCAAGAACCACCAAACAUUUCUUUUCUUUUUGGAUGCUACAAAGCUUCUCUACCAUUUGAUUCUUAUUCAUUUCUUUAGUUUUAUCUUUGGUGUCGCGAGUAAGCUGGACCAAAAUAUCUUCCAAAACCUCUUUUCCUUGACAUUGUUGUGACACACACACCCAAGCAAAACAAUCGAAGUGACGCUUAACAUCUUCAUUGUGACCAUAAACUUGUUUUGCAAGAGUGGUCUUUCCUGAACCGCCCAUCCCCCAAAUAGAUACAAGUUUGGGGCCUUUUUCUUCUUUCACCAAUUGCGUGACUAGUAUCUCUAUGUCCUUCUCUAACCCGACAACAUCACGUUCAAUAACAUGAGGAUAAGUUUCCCUUUGUUCCUUUUGCCUCUCAAAAGAAGUGGCACCUCCAUAUUGUGUGCCCCUUAUUUGCUUGAUGUCAUAACCUUGCAAACUCAACCUCAAUUUGGAAAGUUUGGUGGUAAUGCUCUCAAUUUCUGAACCGAACUUGUGACGAUUAUAGACUUCGUUAAAGAUGCAAGCAAACCUUUUCAGAACAAGCUUCACGCUUCCUCCCCUUCUGAGAGCCACUUUCAAAGCAAAAGAUUCAAUGACAUCCUCCAAAUCAUAAGCAGCAUCUCUUAUAAUUUGAACCCAAAUGCGUACUUCAUUGUCUUCUUGUCUUGUAUCUGCAUCUUUCAGGAAGCCCUGCAUCAAAAGUAGCUCAAUUUGUGCAUGCUUAAUUUGAUCGCCAACUCCGCUCAAGAACUUCACCUCCUCAAUGAGACCGCCUUUGAGCCCUUCAAUUACCAUUGAAACUACCGCCUCAGCCAUAUUUCUGAUUUCCACCAAAAAGAAAAAAAAAUUAAACAAGCUUUCUUUUUCGACUUCUGUUUUUCUGCUUGAUUAAAGUGGUUAACUGGAGAAGUCUUUUCUGUUUUUCUCCUCCUUCACAUGCUAUUUAUUCAAUUGUCUAGCGAAUCAGUUGGCUUAAACAUUUGGAAGAGUGCAUAUGCAUAAAGGAAUGAUUUACAUUUGGAAGAGUCCAUAUGCAUAAAAGGAAUAUUUUACAUUUGAAAGAGUGCAUAUGCAUAAGGGUAUAAUUUACAUUUUGAUUAGGGCAAGGCUCCUUUUUCCACCCUCCACUCCAUUAACGCAAGGAAACAACCGAGGGAAAGAUGCUCAAGAUGAGGAAAACCUCCACUGGAGAAAACGUGUGGUCCUGGAAAAGCCGUGGAAGUAACGUGAUUAUUAAGGAAAAGUAUUCUUAAGCUUGGCAGCUUCUCUAGUAUUCCGGACAGUGUUAGCUUGGUAAGGUUUGGAAAGCACAGAAUCCCUUCUGGUAGCUCUCAAUUUUCCCUUUAUUCGUAGCUUGUAUAUCUCAAGACAACUUAAUAUAUGCUAUGUUCCAUGGUAUAACUUAUUCUCCAGAGUCUACGACUGGAGAUGGUUAAAUGUGAAGCUUAUUCUAUCCCAGUUUCUUGUUAGAUUCACCUUCAACACCAAUUUUCUAAGAUUGGUUAGUUUAACCAUAUCAUUUAGAUCACAGUAGCUACUUGAAACAUUGACUAACGUCUGCAAACUGCCUAGAGUAGCCAACGACAAAUUUCUUACUUGCUCUAUAACGUCAGGGUAAAUAUAUAUGUCUCAGUUGUUCCAUCUUUCCGAACACACCUAAGGUUCUCAUCGACGUCCAUAGACAGUGUAAAUUAGAGUCCGCAGGCAUACCAAAUUUGCUGCAGAUGAUGGAAACUCUAUAAUUUGUGUGUUCUUCAGACUCAAAAACCUUAAGUGAACUAGAUUCCCAAUUUCACUCGGUCAACACUUUUUUUUUUUUUUUUUUGGUGAAGAACGGGGAACACAACCCAAAAAGAACUACAAACCAACAGCAAACCGAGUCCGAGGGACUCCAGCAGCAUCAUCAAUGAGAGCUGAUCUAAUCCACACAGGAGGCUCAUCAAAAACAAGAACACCAAUAUCCAUGUUAUAACUCCAAUUAGCCAACUGAUCCGCCACAAUAUUCUUCUCUCUAUAAACGUGAUUCAAUUCACACCUCCUCAAUUGUCUCAUCAUUAAUCUGCAGCUAUGCAUAAUUGUCUCCAAAGGAUGGAAAUUAUCAACUUGGGAUUGCUUCAACAACAUAAUAACAGCCUUGGAAUCCAUCUCAAUAUGAAGCUCAGUAGCACCCUUAUCAAUAGCAAGCUGUAAACCAAAGUAUAAACUCCAUAAUUCAGCAUCACAAACCUGCCCUUGUCCCAAAUUCACAGCAAAGCCACCUAACCAGUUGCCAUUAUGAUCUCUUAGAACGCCACCAGCCCCAAUUCGACCAGAAUUUGUCCUUCUAGACCCAAUAGAAUUUUUACGGGAUAAAUUCCUUGUAUUACUUCCUUGAAAUAUAUACAAAUACAAUCCUUGUUCUAUAAGGAAACUAAAAUUAAAAAGGACACAACAAAUAAUCCUUCCUAAAAAAGGAUUCCUAAUAUUUACAAUAUAUUUACAUACUUAUUUUUGAAGACUCACGUUUACACUCCCCCUCAAGUUGGUGCAUAGAUAUCACACAUGCCCAACUUGACAAGUGAGUCACCAAACUUUCGUCCACACACUGCAUGAGUAAGAACAUCUGCAAGUUGCUCCUCUGACUUUACAAACGGUAUUGAUACAAUCUUCUUUUCAAGCUUCUCUUUAAUAAAAUGUCGAUCCACCUCCACAUGCUUCGUUCUAUCAUGCUGCACCGGGUUAUCAGCGAUAUCUCUUGCGGACUUGUUGUCACAAUACAACUUCAUAGUCUCCUCUAGUUUAAACCCAAGUCCUAAAAGAAGUUUUCGUAGCCAAAGGAUUUCACAAAUCCCUUGAGCCAUUCCUCUAUAUUCGGCCUCAGCUGAAGAUCGUGAUACCACCUUCUGUUUCUUACUUCGCCAUGUCACCAAAUUUCCUCCAACAAAAGUAAAAUACCCAGAAGUAGACCGUCUAUCAGUUACAUCACCUGCCCAAUCUGCAUCAGUAAACCCUUCAAUUCUCAAAUGCCCGUGUUUCCCAUACAAUACUCAUUUUCCAGGUGCCGACUUCAAGUAUGCCAAGAUACGCAUAACAGCAGCCAUGUGAUCCACAUUUGGUGAAUGCAUGAACUGACUCACAACACUCACAGCAUAAGCAAUAUCAGGACGAGUAUGAGCCAAAUAAAUAAGUCUCCCUACAAGCCUCUGAUAUCUCCCUUUGUCAACCGAUUUCUGACUUGGAUUCAAAUCCAAAUGAUGCUUCUCAACAAUAGGAGUCUCUACUGGCUUACAUCCCAACAUACCAGUCUCUUUUAAUAAAUCCAUCACAUACUUACGUUGAGACAAGAAGAUACCUUUAGAUGAGCGAGCAACUUCAACUCCCAGAAAAUAUUUCAAAUCUCCUAAAUCCUUCAUUUCAAAUUCGGCUGCAAGGUUUCCUUGCAACUUGGACAUCUCAUCAACAUCAUCUCCUGUUAUAAUCAUGUCAUCUACAUAGAUAAUCAAGGCUGUUACUUUAUUUUGUUUACGUUUUACAAAUAACGUAUGAUCAGAAUGACUCUGACGAUAUCCAUUCCUUCUCAUCACUUGAGUAAAUCUAUCAAACCAUGCACGAGGCGAUUGCUUAAGCCCAUAAAGUGACUUACGCAAACGACAUACUCCAGUAUUCCCACCAUUGCUAUAUCCAGGAGGAAAAUCCAUAUAUACUUCUUCCUCCAAAUUCCCAUGGAGAAAUGCAUUCUUCACAUCAAACUGUUUUAAUGGCCAGUCCAUAUUUGCAGCUAAAGAGAUAAGAACACGUACCGUAUUCAUCUUGGCAACCAGGGAGAAAGUCUCUUGAUAAUCCACCCCAUAUGUUUGAGUAUACCCUUUAGCCACCAACCUUGCUUUGUAUCUGUCGACCGUUCCAUCAACCUUAUAUUUAACUGUAAAUACCCAUCGGCAUCCCACGGUCUUCUUUCCUACGGGUAGCAUCAUCACCUCCCAAGUAUUAUUUUUCUGUAAUGCCAACAUCUCCUCAUCCAUUGCUUUCGCCCAGUUUGGAUCUUUUAGAGCUUCCUCCACUCGAGUUGGUACUUGAAUAGACUCCAUAUUGCUCACCAAGGUCUGAUGUUCUGGUGCAAGCUUGUUACAUGAUACAUAAUUGGCUAUCGGAUACUUCACCUUCCCUUCAGGAGAAAACCUAUCAGAAGGCACACCUCGAUUUUGUCUCGGUGGCAAUUUAUAAGUACUUACAUUAUUACUUGGAUCAGCUACAUAAUCAUUUACAAUACUUACCUCAGGAAUAUUCAGAGAAGACGUAUUGGGCGUCACGUUGGAACCAGAGAGAGAGGGCGUACUGGACUCAGCAAGAACAAGUGUAGUGGCUUCGGCAAUGAACUGUUGAGCACUAGGACAUUCCUCGGCACUAGCUAGCCGAGCCUCUAGCCGAGGUUCUCUGAUGGGUUCGGUCAAAUCACCACCAUCAUCUGAGUUGUCAACACACUCGGUACUCUCUGUACAUUCGACACCAACAAUUCCCGGUCCUACACGAUGUUCAAUAAUCACAUCUCCCCCUAGAUCCAACCAACUCAGAUUACCAAUAUUAUUCCCCCCUGGUGAUCUGAUGUAGAAGGUACCGAAGUGUAGAAAUAUUCUGAUUCAGAGAAGGUCACAUCCAUGGUUACAUACAUAUGUCGGGUUUCAGGAUGGUAACACUGAUACCCCUUUUGGUGAGAAGAAAAACCCAGAAAGACACACCGUAAUGCACACGGAUCCAAUUUACUACGAUGUAUUUUCUGAAUAUGAACAUAAGCCACACAACCAAAGACUCGAGGGGUGAGAGUAUUACGGGACACCACGGGAGCAUGGUGUGUGAGGACUUGAAAAGGCGUUUGAAAACUAACCACCCGAGAAGGCAUACGAUUAAUAACAUACACGGCAUAGGUAACUGCUUCAGGCCAAAAACGUGGAGGAACAGAGGCCCCAAGGAGCAAGGCCCGGGCUGUUUCCAAAAUGUGGCGAUUCUUACGCUCUGCAACCCCAUUUUGUUGCGGAGUAUGCGGACACGUGGUUUCAUGGAGGAUCCCUUGAUCACGUAGAAAACCCGACAACUCAGAAUUGAUGUAUUCUCCUCCAUUAUCAGAACGGAGAACCUUGAUAACAGAAGAAUAUUGUGUCUGAACCAACUGAGCAAAUGACCGAAAUAUGUCACUAACAUCACUCUUAUUUUUCAACACAUAAAGCCAUGUCAUACGAGUGCAAUCAUCAACAAAUGUAACAAACCACCGGAUUCCCGAAGAAGUAUGAUAGCGAUUUUACCACUUGUAAAACAAAGGGUUAAACCAUAGAAAAUUCUUGCAAGAGAACAAGUGUUUGUAGUAUAGAAUGGCUCAAGCAAGGUCGAUCUCCUCAGGGACUGAUAUAAACAAUUUACGAGUUUUUGUGUAUUUAACUUAUUUUACUCUAAGAAUUACACUAAUUUAACGAAACUAAAUAUUAUUGGAUGUGACUUAAACAAAUAUCUAAAAUGGGAGGGAAUAAUGAUUCAACUUAAACAAAACAAGUAAAUAAGGAAAUUCAAGAUAAAAUAAAUGAUUUAAGAAAAAUAAAUUGACAAUAUGCUAGAGUUCAACCUUUACCAACAACAAUCCUACGUGGCUAUUCCAAUUGCUUAAAUAAUUGAAAACACAUAUGCUUUGAAGGUUGGAUUUUCCUUGUGUAUAUUUUACUUGUGACAUUCAAGCUAAAACGCAUACCACUACAUGCAACUUAUCCAUGACAUUUGGAUUAAAUAUAAACAUGAGUGAUUCAUUAAUCUUGGUGAAAAUCCUUUUGUUAAACCAUAUAAUCCCUAAGAGCAUGAUAUUUACCUUAGGAGAGUAUAAUUCUCAAUCACAAGAAGCACAACCAAUUUUAACGUGACAUUCGUUCAAAAUUGCAUCCGAUAACUUUUCUAAGCAUCCUAAUGGUGAUCAAUCAUCAAGACACAUAGAUAAUUUAAUUCAGUGAUUGAAAAUAUCAAAGCAAGCAUGUAACAACACUUAAGCAAUUGAAAAAUAAAACUACGUAUUCAUGUUGCGGCUCAUGGCCUCACUCUAGCAUAAUAAAUUAGUUACACAUAAUUAUGUUCAUACAUAAGAAAUUAUCCAUAAAACAAAUAACAAGAAAGAAAACACCCGUUUUUUGGUUCCUCCUGCGUCAGUCUCUUCUUCCCUGCCUCUGCUCACGUCAGUCUCUGCCUGUUCCCUUUGUUUCCGUGCUCUGCCUGCACUCCUGCUUUUUUCUGCACACUGCCCUCUAUCCGUCUCUCCUUGCGCCCUGGCCACUCCUGUUUUUUUCUGCACACUGCCCUCUAUCCGUCUCUCCUUGCGCCCUGGCCACUCCUGUUUUUUUCUGCACACUGCCCUCUAUCCGUCUCUCCUUGCGCCCUGGCCACUCCCCUCACUUCUUCCGUUUUUCUGCUUCUCUGCCUCUUGUUUUACUCCCUUUGCUGCUGUCCGUGUCAGUUCCCCCCUCUCUCUUUAUUUUUCUGUUUCUUUUUCGCUUUUCAUUUCCCUCAUGCUGCUUUUCCCUCUCUUAUUUUAAUUCUGCUCGCGCACUGCCUUUCUUUAUUCCUCUGUCAGUCAGUCCACUUUCAAUUCUUUUCUUUUAUUUUCUUUUCAGCCAGCGCACUCCACUCUCUCUUAUUCUUCUUUGUCUGCCGCCCCAUUUAUUUUCUGUUAUGCUCUCUCCUUUCCCGCUGUCCUGCACUCCUUCCUCAUCAGUUUCUUAGUGGAGCCUAAUUUCCACACCUAACAUUCCACUCAAAGGAAUCAUGCUUUAAUCUGAGGACAUGUUUUAGUGGACAACUUGGCCAGCCAUCUGUACAACAAAAUUCAAAUUAUCAGUGGGUUCUAAUUUAUACAGAUACCCUACACAAAUGGAGCUAUACUAAAAGCAAUUUCACAAUUUCAAUGAACAUAACACGUCACAACUUGGAUUAACUGCACACUAACACAAGGUAAGGUAAAAUGCAACCAUUUUAUCACAAAAACAUCACAAAGAUUUUAGAAAUGGAUGGUAUAAUUGCAUGAAAUAUAUGAGUGAUCAAAGUAGUAAUUGGAGAAGGCCCCCAAACAUCGGAAUGCACAAGAUCAAAUGGAAAAGGUCUUUUAUUCAUACUAGGAGGAAACGAAGCACGAUGGCUUUUAGCAAGAAUACAUACUUCACAAUGUAAGUCUGAUUCAUUUAUUCCACUAAAUAAACUAGGCACCAUAUGCCUUAAAUAUCUAAAGGAUGCAUGCCCUAAUCGACGAUGCAAUAACCAUACUUCUUGUAGAUUACUAUCAUGGAACACUUGUACUGCAUGAGCUCUGCCAGGAACGACAUCAUCCACAUAGUACAACCCCUUUCUCUUAGUGCCACGCCCAAUUAUCUCCUUGGUCUGAAUAUCCUGAAGUAGACAAAAGGACGGAUACAUUAGAACAACACAAUCCAAUUGUUCAGUAACCUGUGGUAUAGACAGUAAAUGAUGUGAUAAAGAUGGAACAAGUAAACAUCGGUGUAAAGGGAGAGAGGCCGUGAGAUACACGGUGCCAGCACCAAUAACAGGAGCACGGGUACCAUUGGCGGUGGCUAUAUAUUCCCUGUGAGAUGUUGUCAUACAUUGAAACAUAUUCUUAUCAUAUGUCAUAUGAUCCGUUGCACCAGAGUCCAGAAUCCAACCUGUAUGAUGCUUAGUAUCAGCGGCCAAAAGACCAUGCCCUACAGUACCUGCGGUGGAGGGCGAGUCACCAUGGGUAGAACGAGUCAGCAAGGAUUGACUCGGGUCAUCACCAGGAGUGUCGGCCUCAUUUGUUGAUGGUGGGGCUGUAGCUAGGGAGGCACGACCUCCAUUGUUCCCUGCACUUCCACGCUCCUUUGCACGCAAUUUCUUCUUCAAUUUUGGAAACCAAUCAGGCACCCCAUGCUUAGCAAAACACGUAUCCUCAGUAUGACAGGGUUUGUCCACAGAAAGUACACUUCAAAUCAUCUUUAUUUUCUCGGUUGAAGGGACGAGAAUUUAAAGAGUGAUUAGAAGAAUUAUUAGGACGAGGGACAUCAGCUGGCCGAGAAAUCAUGGCCAUGGACGGCGGCCCACCUUGGUUGUUACUUCCACCCAUCAUAGUAGCAUGUCGUUGUGCUUCACGCCGAACAACAGAAAACACUUCCUCAACAGAUGGUAAGGGUUGAGUACGUAGAAUAUCACUCCAUACCUUAUCAAAGAUAUCAUCCAAACCCGCCAAAAAAGCAUACACACGAUCAAUUUGAAUCUCUUCUCGAAGGGUCUUGAGAUCCACAACACACUCCAUCUUGAUUGGUCUCCUUUGAUCUAACUCCUGCCAAACGGACUUGAGGUCAGCAUAAUACACACCAACUGGCCGGCCCUCUUGACCGAGUCUGAAGGACUUAACCUUCAGUUCAUAAAUUUGAGAAAUAUCCGAACCAUCAUAAUAGGUCCGAGCCACCUCUUCCCAAACUUCUUUGGCAGUACGCAGGUGAAUAAAAAAUCUCAUGAUAGCAGGUUCCAUGGAAUUGAUUAACCACCCUUUUACUAUUGCAUUCCCUGUCUCCCAUGUCAUAUAUUCAGCACUAUCCUCAACAGGCUCCUUGGUACUCCCAGUCACAAAGCCCUUCCUACCGCGUCCAGCGAUGUGCAUCUCCAAAACCUUGGACCAAAGAGGAUAAUUUGAUCCAUUUAAUUUCACGGUGUUUGGUACAGCAGACGCAUCACUCUGAAUGACGACAGGAUUCAAUACUGGAUUAUUUGUUGAGUUACUGCCUUCCAACUUCAAUACGCCACUGCCUCCUUCUGAUGCCAUUCGGCUUUACCACACACACACGCCAGAAACAGCAAAAAAAAAAACUGUGACGAUGAGUCACCACACUGCUGCGCAAGCAGCAAUACCACACACACACGGUACUUUGCAGAGAUCAGUCAACCACACACACUGCUGCACACGCCAGCAAGAAUACACACACACACGGCAACACUGUUUUCUGCAGAAGAUUUGCAGAAAAACAGCCAACCAAGCAUAGCGGAAAAACUAGGGUUUCGGCAACACUGGCUCUUGAUACCAAAUAGAAUUUUUACGGGAUAAAUUCCUUGUAUUACUUCCUUGAAAUAUAUACAAAUACAAUCCUUGUUCUAUAAGGAAACUAAAAUUAAAAAGGACACAACAAAUAAUCCUUCCUAAAAAAGGAUUCCUAAUAUUUACAAUAUAUUUACAUACUUAUUUUUGAAGACUCACGUUUACAGACCCAUCCACAUUUAGCUUACACCAACCUACAUCAGGAUGAUCCCAAGAGAGAGAAAUUUGCCUCUUUACAGGUUUGACAGAAUACUUCACACAAGCCUUCAACCAUUCAUCCACAUCUCUCUCAAUGAUCGCUUUUGGAUACAUAGGCAUGACAAAAUUGACAUCAAAAAUCUGCUUGUUUCUCCACUUCCAAAUAUGCCAACAAAUAAAAAGGAAAAGAGUACACCAAGCACCCUCAUUAGUCCCUUUUGAACUUACUUUCAGAUUUGCCAGCAACCAAGCCUUAAACUCAAGAUUCUGGGCAUUCCUCAGUUGCCAUGGAACUCCCAUACUUUUCCAGAUACACAUAGCCCUGGAACAAUCUUUAAAAAUAUGAGCAAUGGAUUCAAUUGGUCCACAACAAGUCAUACAAGAAGAAUCAGAAGUUAAUUGUCUUCUAACUCGUUGCUCAUUAGAAAGCAAUCUCCCUUUACUCAUCAACCAAAGAAAAACUUUUAGCUUCGGUGGAACAUUAACUCUCCAAAUAAAAUCCCAGCAUGAAUCAGGCAAAUCCUCUUCAUCAAAGAAAAGAUUAUAAGCUAACUUAACGGUGAAAACUCCAUUAGAAGCACAUCUCCAAAUAAUUUUAUCCAUACCUGCACCAGUAGUACCAGCAGGCCGACAUAUAAUUUUUUGAACCAUAUCCUCUGGCAACACAUCUCUGAGCUUAUCAAUAUCCCACCAACCAUUUCUUAAAAAUUCAGAGACAACACAAUCAAUAUUGGAGAUAUUAGCAACAUCAAUAGUUUCCAUUAAAGGGACAUUUAAGACCCAUGAAUCCUUCCAAAAUUUCACACUCUCACCAUUGCCAAUUCUCCAAGUCAUGCCCUUUUUAAGAAGAUUAACUCCAUACAAAAUUCCUUUCCAAGAAUAAGAACACUCAGUUCUUUCAUGAAUUUUGGGGUCUAAAAUAGAAUAGCCUUUCAAAUACUUAGCCUGAUAAAUUUGAGACCAAAGACCAGAGUCCUUAGCAUAAAUCCUCCACCCUAACUUAGCUAAAAGAGCCUGAUUCAUUACACAAGCUCUCUUAAUCCCCAAACCACCCUUACUUUUAGGUUUGCAAACCAUACUCCAUUGGCACAAAUGGACUUUUUUCUUUUGAUCGGUCAACACUUCACUUGCAUCAUACCUUCAAACUUCAAAACUCUAAGCAAUGUGAAGUGCGUGAACAGUGACCGUACUAGGUUUUUCUCCCAGUAUGACUCAUAUAACAAAGACCUCAGAUGUCCAUCACUUGCAGGAGCAUAUUUAUCGAUAUUUCCGUCUCAGUCCAAAUAGAUGGCAAGUCUUCGAACUCUACCAAUUGACACUUCUUUAGUUACCAUGGCUGCAGAUAGAAUCAUAAUAUGAAUAAAGUCCCCUCUUUCCCGUGGUCAUUUUCUCUCUUUUUUUACAUCGUCACUUUGCUCUGGUACGGUCCUCUUUGACAUGUUCCUCUUUGCUUUGCUUUGACAGGCGCGUGCUUAUUUUUCCUAAGGGAAACAAUGUGGAUUAUUUUGCUAUAUAGGGUAAAUUACACAAAAUUAACUCAACUAUAGGUCGAAAAGGUACUUCCUUGGAUAUAUAUUCUUCUAAUCUUCCACUGCUUCUUAAAUUUCCUAUUGGAGCAUUUAGCUUGGGAUUAUCAAUCACAUUAUCUAUCAGGAUGUUGCAAAUAAUGAUAUCUUAUGUUGAUGGAAAAAGAUUGAAUCUCAAGAGUGGAAUAGCUGUGAAGAUCAGCACUUAUAUAUGUAACAUAUAGUCCAGUUACGAACUACUGCUCAGUUGUCAAAGCACUACAAUUUUGAGAGUACAUAUGUAAAGCAGGAGCAGUUAUAUUUGGUAUAACUCUUUGCAUGUAAAUAAUACCGGUGUAAAUGAUAAAACUUUCAACAACUACUAUAUAUUUUUGUGUAAAUACUUUGCACAUGUUUUUAUGUAAGUAACUUUUACAUAUCUACCGACAAUAUUUAUAAUUUAUUUUUACACCCUGCAGCAAUGCACAUGCUAAACUUCUAGUUUUUAGCUAUUAUCAAUGAAGAUAAUAUAAUAUAUUUGUUAAGAAUUGAUUUUUUUUUACUAAUAAAAUAUCUCUCAUUACUUGAGCAAGCAUAUUGGAAAGAAAAUUCACGCAUUUUCAACAUAUUUUGUUUGCUACAUCCAAGCAAGUCUUCAAUUAUAACACCUAGAUUAAGAGUAAAACACAUCAAACUCUACACGAUUACAAAGUAAAACUUCUAAAAAUUAGGUAAUCGUUAUGUUGAAUAUUAGAUGAUUUAAAGCUCCAAGAUAUUCUAAAACUAAACUUUCGAACACUGUAGAGAUGAGACUAGCGUGGAACUCCUUCGUGGAUGUAGGAUAUGUAUGAUCAAUGAACGGAUAUGUAUGAUCAAUUGAUAAAUAAAUAAAUAAAAACAGAGAUGGAAAGUUUUUGAGAGCACUGUAUUUUCGUUUCCAUACAUCGAUAUCUUCUCAAACAGUUCCAAGCCUUGAUCAUCAUUCAAUGACAGUGGCUGGUAGAGGAAACCAUUAUUGUCCGCAUAUCUAGCUACUUCAGGAUAGCUAGCCAUUUUCAGAUGCUAAGUUAUGUGAAGUUCGCAUUACCAACGAACCUUUAUCCGAGACCUAUGCUUAAGUUGUCAGAAGUUUAAGCUAGCUCACUGUGUGCAUAUUGAAAUAGUAGUCCUAAAUAUUAAAAUCGCUACUCGCUCGGGAUUUUUUAACAAACUUUUUGUUUGCAUUUUUGUUUGGCCAUCAGCUCUGUAACUUUUCUGUUAUAGAUCACAAGUUGACUGCUAGGUCCACAUUGUUGUUCACUUUAUUCAUUGUUUUCAAUCCAUGAUUUUCUCAUCAAGUUUUAUUACAUAAAAAGGUUCCCCAGGUGGGUAUCUACCAAACUUUUAUAUAAACGUUUCAAUACAUUUUCAAAACUUCAAUGUUAGGGAGUCUUUUGACCAAAGAUUGCUGAAACUGAGUGGAUCAUUGAUAUUUAAGUGUUCGGAUUAGGUGUUUUAAAAAGCAUUUGUAAUUGAUCGAAGAAAAGAACAAACCUUUGCAUACAACACCCGAGCCCCAAGAAAACCAUUAAAAUAUCUUAUUUGAUCUAGUAUUCUACAAUUAUAUGAUUGGGACUCCGUUAUGCUAAAAAACAAAUAAAAAAUCCUUCAGGUGUAUUUUUAUUUAGAAUUCUUUUGAAAAUGGUUUAUCUCGCUAUGAUUUCAACGUUCUGUAGCUAUCUUUAGCAUAAAAAAAUUUCCAAAAUACGGCUAAUGUGCAACAAUAGUGUGUGAAACAGUAUUAAAAAAAAAUCUUAAGUUGUUAGUUUUCUCUUGUGCUAUUAAUUCUUCAUUGAUGGUUAAUUCUCAUAAGAAUUCAUACAGCUGACCCCAUUUAAUGAGAUAAAGUUUUUUUGUUUUUGUAUUGAUCAUUUGUUUGCUACUCAUACACUAAUAUUUUUUUCCCAUGUUUUCUAUACAGUUUUCUGCUACACAUUGUUCCCACUUGUUCAUGAAGCCCAGGAGUAUCCAAUAAAGGUUUUAUUGCUGUUACUGUGUUCCCACUUGUUCAUGAAGCUCAGGAGUGUUCAAUAAGGGUACGUUUGUUGCGCAGGACUAUCUCAGACUAGACUAGCUUCAGGGACUAAGUUAGAUUGGCUUAGACUAGAUUAAGCUGGACUAGCUUAGUGAAAUGUUUGGUGCAGUGUCAGACUAUGAAAUAGGAUAAUGAAAACAGUACUAUCACAAGUUUGGUGUUUACUCAUACUAGGACUACAUUAUUGUUCUAUUUUAAUUGCUUUUUUGUAUUAAAGAUAUUAUUAAAAUUAAUAAUAUUGGAUGAAAGUGAGACUCAAUAAAAAUACAAGCUCAAAAUUCAAAUUAACAUAGAAAUUGGAAUUGAAGAUUCCUUUUUUUUUUCUUUUUUUCUUUGUUUUUUUUUUUGUUUGGAAUUCAGGAAUUCAUAAGAUGCAUGUGAUACUAAAUACAAUCAAAAACAUCAAGGUCAGCAAGUUCAACCAAUUGUUUAAUCCAAAAUCUCUAAACACAAAAUACUCAAUUAAUUGAGCACACACCAUGAACAACAACAUAAAACACAUGAAUUAUUUCCACUUGAAAGAUUCUUGCACUAUAUCAAAAACCCAAAAAUCAAAAGCUUCAAAUAAGAAAAGAUUUUACAUUCACUUCCUCAAUCUCUAAAAUUGAUGAAAACACCUAAACCCACUAGACUACCACAGCCAAAACUGAUAAUCGCAAAAAAUAAAAUAAAAUUAAAUUAAAAUAUAAAAAAACAAUGCACAAAACUCUCAUUUUUCCUCUACUACUUCAAGAAUCCGCAAACAAAAAGAACAACAACAAUUCAAUUUCUCCUUCUUCAAAGUUUACAACUUUGAAUUUGUUUCAAAUCAGAAAAAAGAAAACAAGGAAGAGGUGGAAGAGAUAACCUUAAGUCGCUGCUUGUAGGAGGAAGAGAGAGGCUGGAUUGGAGACAGCGAGAAGCUUGUCGUUGCCGUCGGUCAAUCCUUCUGAAACCCCUUCAUCGCCCCUAUAGAACUACGAGAUCGUUUUGUUGAGGACGUCGUCAAUCUGCUACAUCGGCUGUUGAUGUAUGAAGGACGAGAUCGAUUUGUCUGAUAGCCAAAAGGAUGAGAUUGAUGAAAGCCUGCGGAGGAUUGGAGGUGCGAAGCGAAGCGAUCUUAGCAAUCUCGUUGUUUUUUAAGGGACUCGCUAAGAACCUCUAGUGAGGGCAUUAGUCGAGGCGAGUGCCUUCUAAUCCAACUAAAGUUAAUCCUUCCAUCAAACAAACACGGGACUACAUUCAUUGCUAGUCCAAUGAAGAUUAGUGAAGGCAAACAAACACACCCCUAAAUGUUUUAUUGCUGUUACUGCACUCCAACCUUAUGUGGUUAGGUUUAUUUGCACAAUUCGCUAAUGGUGUUUGUUUUUCUGGAAAGAAAAGAUGAUGAUUUUCGAUCGAAGAGACGUCUGUUGCAGCUGCCCUAAAAGGAGGGUUUGCAAAUAGGGCCCAACCCUCAUAAUUUGGAGCCCCUAGGUGAUGUUUUGAAGUGGAGCCCUAAAGUUCUCUAACCUUCGAUCUUUUAUAUGUUGAUAUGUAUAAAAAAAAUUCCUCUAAAUAGAUAAAAAAAAGUCUAUUUCUACAACAAAUAUCAUUAAAAAUUAAUAUCAAAAAAAGAAAGAAAUACAAACAUUACUUAAAUAUUACAAUUCUCACAUUUUUAAUGCAAAUGUACUAAUUAAGUUUCCAUAAUCUAAUUUUUCGAUCAAUUAUUUUUCAAUUGCCUAUGAUUUUUUUUUUUUUAAUUUUUACCAAAUUUGGGGGCCCUCCGAAGUAGGGUCUAAGCAGAUGCUUACUUCGGCUACAUUCAGGGCCCACCUUGUUUGCUAAUUUCUGCAUCCCAUCAUAUUUGGUGAUAAGCUUUCUUGUAUACCCCUCAUGCUGAUCUCAACAUAUUGUGGAUUAGAGAUUACGUAGUCCUUCAUUUGCCAAUUAAAAUGGAUCUUUCAUUCAUGAUUGUUCAGGUUUUGACGUUAUCUGAUUUAUAAUUAAGAGUUUUCGUACAAUUCUACGACUUCGUAUCGAUGGCAUAACCAUAAUAUAGCAUAAUCAACUUUUUAAUCCGACAAAAAACACCAUACUCUUAAUUGUAUAGUCAAUAGAGUCCGGCAACAAACCAGUCAAUCCGAUUAAAAUAAUUAGUAUAGUUUCACAUACUUUCACGUAUAUUUCUAAUUAUCAAAAGCAUUAAUAACCAUCUAUUUGCUAAUAAACUUUAGUUUUAGUUUUAAUUUUUUUUGUAGAGACAUCAUUAAAGAGUAUUUAUGAUGUGAACAAUUUUGAUUGUGAACACAAUAUUAUAUGAAGGGAAAUUUUAUUUGAACUCAUAUAACCUCUUUCUACUAAUUAAACUAUUGAUAUCUCUUUAAACCCAAAUUUACUACCUAAAUCACCCUCACAACCCAAUUCCAUAUGUAAAUUUAUCUUUACACCCAUUCAAAACAUUAAAAGCCACGUAAAAUUCAAUACACUUAAAAACUUACCAGGUUGACAAUAUGUAAUUGCCGCCAAAGAUACAUUUGUGACACACCCCGACCGAGAUCAAGGUAUGUUGGCCGUCACGUGAGAGCGACGUAGCCAUGUGCACAGUGCGGAAGCAAUAAUGAUAAGAAAUAUAUGAAUAAUUAAAAACCGAAAUACUAGAGUGCACUACUAAACAAGAAGUGUUAGGAGUAAGAUCCAGAAGUAACACUCCUAAUCAGAGCAUAAAAGUCUAGGUGUAGUCCAGUAGGAUAAAUACUAAUUAUACAAUACCAGGAAUGUCCUACUAUUAUUUAAAUAGGUCAAAAUUGCCGACGUCCUCAAGUCACCAAUAACAAACUUACUUAAAACCUGGAGGGGCGCAAAAUAGAAAACGUGAGUGGGCAAAAACAAAUGUUUUACAAAACCAUUUCAUUUAUCAACAUAUUUAACCCCUCUAUGUAAAAAAUGUAUAAUUUUUCCCAUAAUCAAGAUAUAAGCAUAUACAUAAAUAUAUAUAUGAAAUCAUAUCAAUUCAAUUCAUGCUUCACAUAAUCAUAUUCAUAUGUAUGCCAUGCAAAGAUAUAACAGAGUAAGCAAUUCAGGUAAGAAUAAUUUUAUAGAAAUAUAACAUGCUAUCUGAACCCCUGUGGUAGUCUGUACAGCUAAAUUCAUAGCUCAAAAGUCACUCUAGCCGGAGUCACUACAAUGACUUAUACGGCAACAUACUGCACAAGAGUCGGAACCAAACAAAAAGGUCUAUACGAUAAUAAUGGGUGUAAUACAAUCAUGCUCAAUACUACUCUCACAUAAUAGUUGGGCGAUAAAUCGCUAGUCACCUACGAGUCGGAACCAUAAAUAAAGUCUGUACGACAAGAAUGUGCACCUAAAUUGGAUCCAAUAUGAGCAUAUGGUGCGAGAGGUGACAUAAUAAACAGGUCUGUGCCAUAUCUAUGGCUAAAUCACAAUCACCCUAAGUGCAGUUUUAUGAGCUCAACAUUAUUCAAUUACAUAUCGCAUCAUUGACAAUUCACAUAACCGAACAUAACCUACCUGAGCUUACCUGAGCGUCCACAGCACCACAAUUAUAUAUAUAACGCAUCACAUACCAAUUCAUACUUGAAUUAUAAACUUAUAUGCAUGGCAUUUAUGGCAUACUAUCAUUUAAACACAUAUUUCAGGGAAAAUAUCAAGUAUAUACUAUAUACUGAAAACCAAAAGCCCACUCACUGGUAAGUCGAAGGAUCGUAGCGAGUUGCCCUUGGAUACGCUAGUCCUCGGGAUAAGUCUCACCUAUAUGCGAAUUAACUAUAAAAAUGUUAUUUUAAAGCACUUAGACAAAACUAUCUAAUAACUUCUCAUACAUAGAUCAAAUUGGGUAUAUGAAUAACCACAGUGACCUACACAACCUCAGGAUCAUCCCUAAAUUUUCAGAUUAAUUUUUAGACCCUUCACACACCGCAACGAGCCGGCGAGUGCACGGCGAGUCGCGCAAGAAAUCUUGACGGAUUCCCUAACUGCCGUUAGGAAUAUUUCCCAAAAUAUUCCAUUAAAACCCAACGGUAACUGUUAAUCCUAACUGACGACGUUAACAUAUUCCGUCAAAACUGACGGAAUAUUCCCCUUUCUUCUCCAGUGAGUCGCCGGUUUCUGGGUAAAACUUUAAAACCACUAUUCUCCUUUGUUUCUUCACCAUUUUUCAUGAAAUUUGAACCAUUGGAAAGCUAACAACAUGUAGAAUCACGUUAUACAAGUUUCAAGGCUUAAAUUUCACUAGGUUUUCCCCGAGAAAGCUCGAUAAUUCGGCUUACCUAGAAACACGUCGAUCUCAGUCCUCUGACGUCCAAAUCCUUCCAACGAAGUACCCCGAGACUCGUGAGGACCUCCUUAAGCUUCCUAUGACCUUAGAAUUCCCUGAAACACAAGGUUUUAUGUGUGCAUGAACAGUGCACAAAAUCGGGGUUAGGGUUUCUCGGGUUUUCGAAGCAUUCACGUCCAAAUAAGGGUACCAAUAGACUCAAGAGGUUACAAUGAGCAAGAACCUUACCUUAAAAGCUUCGAUCCGUGCCUGAAAUGGGGAGUUCGAAGCUUGUCCGUACGAAGAAGGGAAAGAGAGAGAGAGUCUGAGAGAGAUGAGAGGGUACGAGAGAUAAGAGAGGGAGUGAGUGUGGUGUGUGUGUGGUCCACGCGGGUCACCAAUCCAAACCACAAAUAACCUCUAAGUCUCAAUAUGAUACACACAUACACUACAGUCUCAACGUCUAAGGAUAAAACCGUCCUUUCACGUCCUCUAGAAUAAAAUAAUGCACAUCUCCGAGACGGGCUGUGACAUUUGCCCAAUAGAUUAAAAGACUACCUUUGAGUUCCUAUUUCUUUUGAUUUCUUGGUUCAUAGCACAAAACAUUGGCGACAACUUGUUUCCCCUCGUUGACAAUGUUGUUGCUACUAGUCCAAUAUUUUUGUAUACAUACCUAUCUUAAAAAUAGGUUCAGUACCAGCACAAGCCUACUUUAGCACAAACCAGGCUGCUCUUCUUGCUCUCAAAUCCCCACCUAGGCAGCCUGUCAUUUCUUGUUGAGCUGGAAUUCAAAAAACAACAGUUUUGGUGGUAGUUUACCAAACAAUAUAUGCCAACAUCUUCCAAGCAUUUAGGGGUUGCAUUUGCCGUGCAACCAGUUUGAUGGAGGGUGAAUGUAGGGUAAACAUUGUGAAGUGUUUGAUUAUUGGGUGUGUGUUUAUUAAUAAAUUUUAGUUUAUACUUAACUUUACCUUAUAUUUAAUGAUAAUUAUGUUAUAGAGUAAAAAAGACAAUUCACAAUUAGGAGUCCUCACGAGCUCCGAAUGAAUCAACCACUAAGUAAAUUGAGGAGAAAUGAGGAGUCAAACAUUGUUAGUACCAAAAUAUGUUUAAUGGGCCCAAACUGACUAAAGCCCACAACGGCCUCAAAAAUUCCUAUAUCCAUUUCCUCCUCUAUUUCCACGUGCCGAAACGGCAGAAGCCAUUUCCGAAACCCAAACCAAAACCUCUACCCGAACUCCACCCUCUCUCUCUCUCUCUCUCUCCGACCCUGCGAGACCCGAGCGACCCUUCACUCCGCCACCAUGCUUCGCCGAGCCACCACCCUCUUGACCCGAUCCACGAUCCCCCUCAGGGCCCGACCCUUCUCUACCGACGUCGCUGAGACUGCCCCAGCCGAUUCGACUUUCAGUGAUGCCUGGAAGAAAGUGGUGCCUCACAUAGAUCCCCCAAGGACCCCAUUGAC
rnacentral:lncRNA from 1 species